UGCCGGCUCAGUGGGAGCUGCUGGUUCGACUUCUUAUUCAACGUCAUGGUCACAACUCGUGCCAGGCAUUAGUUCUGACUCUGUUUCAUCUUUUACGAUAAUAACACUUGCAUUUUGACGUGGUUUAGCUCAGUUUGAUAUGGUAAUUUUCCUUAGUUCUCCAAACGACUAACUGUAAGUGCUAGCUUACUUAUUUGCUGAUCUAGUUCUUGGAAAUGUGUUUCAG
rnacentral:lncRNA from 1 species